rnacentral:sRNA from 1 species
CGAGGACUACGGGGAGCCGGCGCCUGGGGAGCCGCCCCCGGCGCCGCGGCCCAGCCGUGAGCAGAAGUGUGUGAAGUGCAAGGAAGCGCAGCCCGUUGUGGUGAUACGAGCCGGAGAUGCCUUCUGCAGGGACUGUUUCAAGGCCUUCUACGUCCACAAGUUCAGAGCCAUGCUGGGCAAGAACCGGCUCAUCUUUCCAGGCGAGAAGGUGCUCUUGGCGUGGUCUGGGGGGCCUUCGUCCAGCUCCAUGGUCUGGCAGGUUCUUGAGGUGCGUGUUCACCACCCCCUGGGCCCGGGCUGCUGGGCUGAGCUUCGGGCUGGGGGCCUCCCUUCUCAGCCUGCUGAGGGGCUCUUGGUUGGGGCUAGAGAGCAGUCCACCCCGCGGCCUGGACACUUGGAGAGUUCUCAGAUGUGUUCACAACAGGUGCACCAAUCAGGAGCUGAGUCCACAGCGCGUGUGUGCGGCCCACUCUCAGAUGUGUUUACAGCAGGUGCACCAAUCAGAAGCUGGGUCCACAGCGCGUGUGUGCGGCCCACUCUCAGAUGUGUUUACAGCAGGUGCACCAAUCAGAAGCUGGGUCCACAGCGCGUGUGUGCGGCCCACUCUCAGAUGUGUUUACAGCAGGUGCACCAAUCAGAAGCUGGGUCCAGAGUGCGUGUGUGCGGCCCACUUGACUUCCGUCCAUUUGCUCAACCUGCGUAGAAACACAGUCAGUGGAAAGCUGCAUCUUGGCUCAGCCAUGUGUGACCCGAGGGAAGAUUGGGAAAGGGGAGGGGGUUUGCCAGGAGAAGCAAAGGGAGCAGCGUUUGAGGUGGAGGAGGCGGCCCGCGCAGGGAGGUGGAGGCGGGCUUAGGCUGCACACAGGGCUCGGCUGGGGGUGGUGGGGCUGUGCC